UUAUUUACCCAUUUUUUUCUGAUAGCUAUAUUUUAUAGGUCCGCCAAAACCUCCGAAAAAUGCCACAAAAUAGAAAAGGGCGGGUCAGAAAACCAAGGGUUGGCUGUAAAAACUUAUUAGAGGGCUGUUUAAGGCUAACCUACGUUCCAAUAACAACAAUACAAAUAAUAAAACUUUGAGCAGCGUGAGGAUCAUCGAAGCCCGACAUCCUAAGCUGUCUACCCCGGUUGGGGGCUCUGAGGAGCCGAAGUCAUCUCCGGCAGAGGCCAGCGCCGCAGGAAAAAAAUCAGUGGACAAGAGUUACAGAAACGAGCUACUAGACUCAGAGUAAGGAGCUACAAGCUGAUGGCGGCGAACCAUCUAAGAAGACAUGGUGACGACCAGGCUGGAGCGAGAGGCUGGAGAACUCUGGCUAAUAUCCGCCUAUAUGACGCACGAUGACGAAGUGGAGCCACCUCCAAAGCUGCUGAGGAGCGCCCUAGCGUAAACCAAGCGAAUGAAAGCGGGUGUGAUCAUAGGGUCCGAUGCGAAUUCGAUGCACUCAGUUUGUGGAAGCUCGGACAAGAACUCGCGAGGUGAGCGACUUUUUGAGUUUAAUGUAAGAAAGAGUUAUGUAUUUGUAACAGGGGGAAUUCCCCUAUGCUUAUAACUGCUGCCAGUGAAGAUAUUCAUGACCUUACACUGGCUACAUCUAAGACAACACCUUCGCUCUCGGAUUGGAGGGUUCUGAGCGAUCAAGAACUGGGAUCUGUACAGCAGGAAUCUUCGCUUUCUGAUGCGCCAGAAAUAAAUUCGAUGCAGUCGGUGGACUCGCUAGAAAACCUUGUCGAAGUUUUCAGCUCCGCGUGCAAAGAUGCUCUUGAAAGCGCAUGUCCGCUGAGCAGUCAGAAAGGUAGAGGGAAACCCGUUUUGUGGACGGUGGAGCUCUCUGAGUUAAGGCGCCGAGCAGACGAUUAUUCAAUAGGGCCCGUUAGAGUAAGUUGUCUUCCGAUUGGAAACUUUAUAAGUUUGGACUAGGAAUCUACAAGUCCGAACUGCAAUCUACGCGAACUGCGUGAGAUAGGGCAUAUUCCAGGUGGAGUUCAUCCCGAAGGCCGGAAGGAGCUCUCAUGUUGUCCCGAAGGACUUCAGGCCAAUCAGACUCUUGGAGUUCUGCAGUGUAUUCCAGGCAGAAUUGGCUGCUAUCAAGGAGGCGGUGGAUUCACUGCUCCGGAGUGCUAUAACAGUCAGGGAAGUGAGCGUAUUUUCUGAUAGCCAAGCAGCUACCAGGGCUUUGAGUUCGCUGGAGGUGCGCUCUAACUUGGUUAAGAAAUGUCUGCUCUCUCUUUCGGUCGCAUCGGAAUACUUAUGAAUUAGGCUUAUUUGGGUUCCGGGUCACAGCGACAUUGAGGGGAACUGUGUGGCUGACGAAUUGGCAACAGCGGCUGGGGGUGCCAUUCAUGUGGUACACUCUUGGAUAGAUGGGACUCAUGUCAGCUCAGAGAACGCUCGCCGAAAACCACGACAUGCUCGAUCACAAGGCCCUUCUUGCCGAGGGUGGACCGGUGCAGUCGAGGGCACUCCUCACACUCACAAAGCCACAGCUCUCACUCUGUUUGGGGUUUUAACGGGUCACUGUCCAAUCGGUAUUCUCGCAGUAAGGCUGACAAACCUGGAAAAUGACGAGGUAAGCACCUCAUCACGAUCUUCUUAGGUGCCCAGCGUUUGCGAAACUAAGGUUGAAGUACUUUUACUCUCACUUCCUAAAGAGCACCGAGAAGCUCUGGGGCAUUGAGAUUAGCCGAAUUCGUAAACACAUAAUCGGCUCGGGGCGUUUUAUCGAUAAAGUACAGAGUGCCGUUCAGAAUUGUGGUAUCACAAAGGGCAAUCUAAAAUUGUCUAAACUAACCUAACCUAACAUCGUUUCUUCAAAAGACCCUUGAGAAAUUAAUAAACCUAUACAUCAAGCAAAACGUAGUGGGACACAUGCCGGUUACCAGGGGUAUCCCGCAAAGCGUGUAUUAUCGCCGCUAUUUUCAUCAGUCGUGGUCAACAGGAUACUGAAGAAAAUGGAGGGAGGACCUGCCGAAUUACUGCAUAUGCGGAUGAUAUUUAUAUCAUAGUGAGCGGAAAGUGUCUGUCCACACUCAGCACACUUAUGAGCCAAGCACUACGGGUUACAUCU
rnacentral:lncRNA from 1 species